rnacentral:rRNA from 3 species
AAUGGCAUAAGCCAGCUUGACUGCGAGCGUGACGGCGCGAGCAGGUGCGAAAGCAGGUCAUAGUGAUCCGGUGGUUCUGAAUGGAAGGGCCAUCGCUCAACGGAUAAAAGGUACUCCGGGGAUAACAGGCUGAUACCGCCCAAGAGUUCAUAUCGACGGCGGUGUUUGGCACCUCGAUGUCGGCUCAUCACAUCCUGGGGCUGAAGUAGGUCCCAAGGGUAUGGCUGUUCGCCAUUUAAAGUGGUACGCGAGCUGGGUUUAGAACGUCGUGAGACAGUUCGGUCCCUAUCUGCCGUGGGCGCUGGAGAACUGAGGGGGGCUGCUCCUAGUACGAGAGGACCGGAGUGGACGCAUCACUGGUGUUCGGGUUGUCAUGCCAAUGGCACUGCCCGGUAGCUAAAUGCGGAAGAGAUAAGUGCUGAAAGCAUCUAAGCACGAAACUUGCCCCGA